UACGGGGGGCAAGCGUUGUUCGGAAUUACUGGGCGUAAAGGGCUCGUAGGUGGCCAACUAAGUCAGACGUGAAAUCCCUCAGCUUAACUGGGAACUGCGUCUGAUACUGGAUGGCUUGAGUUGGAGAGGGAUGCGGAAUUCCAGGUGGUAGCGGUGAAAUGCGUAGAUAUCGUAAGGAAGACCAGUGGCGAAGGCGGGAUCUCUGG
rnacentral:rRNA from 1 species